GCAUAUCAAUAAGCGGAGGAAAAGAAACCAACAGGGAUUGCCCUAGUAACGGCGAGUGAAGCGGCAACAGCUCAAAUUUGAAAUCUGGCUCUUUCAGAGUCCGAGUUGUAAUUUGCAGAGGGCGCUUUGGCUUUGGCAGCGGUCCAAGUUCCUUGGAACAGGACGUCACAGAGGGUGAGAAUCCCGUACGUGGUCGCUAGCUAUUGCCGUGUAAAGCCCCUUCGACGAGUCGAGUUGUUUGGGAAUGCAGCUCUAAAUGGGAGGUAAAUUUCUUCUAAAGCUAAAUAUUGGCCAGAGACCGAUAGCGCACAAGUAGAGUGAUCGAAAGAUGAAAAGCACUUUGGAAAGAGAGUCAAACAGCACGUGAAAUUGUUGAAAGGGAAGCGCUUGCAGCCAGACUUGCUUGCAGUUGCUCAUCUGGGCUUUUGCCCGGUGCACUCUUCUGUAGGCAGGCCAGCAUCAGUUUGGGCGGUGGGAUAAAGGUCUCUGUCAUGUACCUCUCUUCGGGGAGGCCUUAUAGGGGAGGCGACAUACCACCAGCCUGGACUGAGGUCCGCGCAUCUGCUAGGAUGCUGGCGUAAUGGCUGUAAGCGGCCCGUCUUGAAACACGGACCAAGGAGUCUAACAUCUAUGCGAGUGUUUGGGUGUCAAGCCCGAGCGCGUAAUGAAAGUGAACGGAGGUGGGAACCCGCAAGGGCGCACCAUCGACCGAUCCUGAAGUUUACGGAAGGAUUUGAGUAAGAGCAUGGCUGUUGGGACCCGAAAGAUGGUGAACUAUGCUUGAAUAGGGUGAAGCCAGAGGAAACUCUGGUGGAGGCUCGCAGCGGUUCUGACGUGCAAAUCGAUCGUCAAAUUUGGGCAUAGGGGCGAAAGACUAAUCGAACUAUCUAGUAGCUGGUUCCUGCGA
rnacentral:rRNA from 1 species